UAUUGAACAAGAUUUGUUGACAAAGGCUUUACUUGUUAGGAUGGUUGACUUGAGCUGUGAAAAGAUGUCUAUAUAUAUUGAAUUUGUUACUGAUAUGCUGUUUUUGAAUUGGUGAAUCCUACAGUUUACAGGUCGUCAAACCCGUACCCAUUUACAACAAGGAAACACAAACUUCUUUGAAAAAAAAAAUUGGCGAUUACCAAAAAGCUUCAGUGGCUGUUAUUAAAAUUCCUCAACUAUCAACAAUGGACAUAAUUGAUGAAGACUUUUAAAUAAGUAUAUUCUGAUAGGUACCUAUUUCCUAUUAUUUGUGUACUUAUUUUUCCUAUAUUUCAACACACUACACAUCAGAAAGUAUAUAAUAAAAAAGAAAAAGUUUACACACAUAUUUUGCCUGUGUCUCCUUCUAAACAAUUGGAUCACAAGCCACCUUCAACUGUUAUCACAUAUAUGUUUGGUGAAAUCGUAACUAUUGUAAAGAUUUUUUGAUUAAUGCUUAACCUGUCAGAAUGGUUGGCAUGAGCAUGAGCUGUGAAAAGAUAUAUUAUAAUAUUGAAGAUAUUGCUGAUAGGCUGUUAAAAUUAGCGGGGUCCUAUUGUUUACUGGUCGUUAAACCUGUUCCCACACACGGAACUUACUUCUCAACAAGGAACAACAAACUUUGAAAGAAGACUCAGCGAACACCAAUUACCUUAAAUUAUUGCACUCUGAAUCGUAUUUGUCAAUGGCAUAUUAUUUACCAUUA